AAAAAAAAAAACUCCAAGCCACAUGUGCUUUCAGUUUGGCUCAUGUGGCCUUAAAUGUGAAAUACACUUUGUAAUUAAAUGCUCAUUUUGAUAAUAACCCCGAUAGCCUCCAAAAAUCCCAAGUUUAGUGGGACAGUCCUGAUUUUGGACCCCCAUCACAUUGUCCAAGGUUAGCUUUCUGCUGUUUUUAGAUUUCCCAAUAAGUACUGGUUCAUCAGUUAAUGCCUUUGGUCCACUCAAAAUGAACUGUCGCGGGUUUUAUGACUUGUGGCAGCAUAUGCAGGGUGGCAGAUUAACGAUUAAUUAAUUAGUUCAGCUUGCUGUGAGUUGUCCGGAGUCUGAUUAGUUGUAGCUGGGCAGAUUUUGAGUAUUUUGGUAGCAGAGUUGAGAGUGUGGAGCUAGUUAGGAAUUGGUUGGGGCGUUUGGGCGCGAGGAUAGCGGUGGGAAAGUGUCUUUAUAUUUCACGGAUCACCUCAGGAGCCCGGUUUAGGAGCUGUGAUAAAAGAAGACGCCAAGGAGCUGCCGGGACCCCGCUGUCUAUCACACUGUUAUUGCACGCAUCCGCCCCUACUUAAUGCCAGAUGCGACUAAGGCGCUGGUCCAUUCCACUGUACUUUCUCGCCUUGACUACUGUAAUCCGCUGCUCAUCUG